rnacentral:rRNA from 1 species
UACGGAGGAUCCGAGCGUUAUCCGGAAUUAUUGGGUUUAAUGGGUGCGUAGGCGGCCAUUUAAGUCAGCGGUGAAAUUUUGCAGCUUAACUGUAACAGUGCUGUUGAUACUGUUUGGCUAGGAUUUGGUUGUAGUGUGCGGAAUGUGUGGUGUAGCGGUGAAAUGCUUAGAUAUCACACAGAACACCGAUUGCGAAGGCAGCACACUAAGUCAUUAUUGACGCUGAGGCACGAAAGUGUGGGGAUCAAACAGGA